CGUAUAGCGAAACUGCGAAUGGCUCAUUAAAUCAGUCUUGGUACAUUUGGUCUCGAGAGCGAAGGUGGAUAACUGUGGCAAUUCCAGAGCUAAUACAUGCAAUUAGCGCCGACUUCGGGAGGCGUGCUUUUAUUGGAUCAAAACCGACCGGGUUCGCCCGUCUCUUUUGAUGACUCUGGAUAACCACGCGGAUCGCGCGGUCUUGUGCCGGCGACAAACCAUUCAAGUGUCUGACCUAUCAACUUUCGAAGGUAAGCUACGGGCUUACCUUUGUGAUAACGGGUGACGGGGAAUCAGGGUUCGAUUCCGGAGAGGGAGCCUGAGAAACGGCUACCACAUCCAAGGAAGGCAGCAGGCGCGCAAAUUACCCAUUCCCGACACGGGGAGGUAGUGACGAAAAAUAACAAUACAGGACUCUAACGAGGCCCUGUAAUUGGAAUGAGUACAUUCUAAAACUCUUAACGAGUAUCCAUUGGAGGGCAAGUCUGGUGCCAGCAGCCGCGGUAAUUCCAGCUCCAAAAGUGUAUGCUAAAGUUGUUGCGGUUGAAAAGCUCGUAGUUGGAUAUUGGGCGAGCGCGGUCGGUCCGUCGCAGGGCGUGUACUGGUCGCGUUCGUCUCGAGCUUCGGUUCUCCGUCGGUGCUCUUGACUGAGUGUCGGCGGUGGCCGAGAAGUUUACUUUUGAAAAAAUUAGAGUGUUCAAAGCAGGCUGGUCGCCUGAAUAGUGUUGCAUGGAAUAAUGGAAUAGGACCUCGGUUCU
rnacentral:rRNA from 1 species